rnacentral:lncRNA from 1 species
AGCUGAAGUAGUAAUAAACAGGGACGCGAGGUUCCGCCUGGGCUCUGAGCUGCAGCCGGCGAGUGUUUUUUCCAGGGCAAAGCCCAGAGGGGCACGAGGACUCAAGGCUGAGUCACAGAUCUGGAACCUCCUGAGGCUUGUACCCUGGCCCCCACGUGGAGCCUUGCCUAAGCCUCCCUUCCACUCAGGACUGCCUACUAAGAAAGGAACCCAGUUUUGAAUCUAGGGAAAUUAUCUGCACUUGUAAAUCAGCUUCAGAACGACUUCUUAUUUUCCAAAGCAGCUGCCCUGAAUUCAGAAUAGGCAAAUUCCUAUUGUUUACCAUCUGAUAAGACUUCUUAAGAUGAGAUCAUGGUUUAUGGAAUACCAUCAAGUGAGGAUGAGAGAAACUUUCCUGAAAGAAAGACCUAGCAGAAUGUUAAAUAUGGAAUUAUCACCCUGAAAUGCUAUGCAUGAUUCUUUACAUAAAUUCACAGUUGGUAGCACAUUGGUAAAUGUUGGCAAAAAAUGUGCUAUAAGAGUUUUAAAAUAGGGAAAGAUGAGCACAUUUUUUACCUAUCCUGAAGUGUAUGGAAUCUCCUCCAUGCAAUCUAGACUCAGUGUUGUUGGUACUGCCC